rnacentral:sRNA from 1 species
UACACCCUGGGGCUGCCACUCCAAACCCGAAC